CAAAACCGGCAGGACAGAGAGGCUCAGGCCUGGGCCUGUUUCCUUCCGGUAUCCACCCAAACCAGAUCCUCUUUUCUUCUAUCUUCCCAGCUUCCAGCCUUCCUUGCUUGCAGGACUCGCAUCUGCCACUCACAGGCCGGGCCAGCAGAUGAGCUUCUCCACCAGACACAGGCAUCCAACAUCUCCCUUUGUCUCCCACCUUCACUUAGAACGAACUCUUCACGUAAGGUGUUACCCAGAUUCUCUGAGCCCAAAACACCUAGGCGGUCUUGAAACUGACAGUAAUCAACAAGCCCACAACACCUGUAACCAGCCUUCUCUGUCCAAGCUCACUUGAAUUGUUUUCACAGAAAGCUACCCGUCCUCCUAGCAGCACUAACGUUAUGUUUCCCUGAGCUAUUUUUCAGAGCCUUGGAGUCAGCAGCAUCCAGUUCCAGCGCCCGCCAGUUAAGACGGGUGAGGACCAUGGACCCUCCAACUACAGGGCAUAAGCAAGUGUCUGCUCCUCUACCUUUUGACGUCAGAGGACUGAGAAAUGCCAUGCUCGGAAUAUGCUGGAGCCAGGCAUCUGUAGGCAAGUUGCACCUGUGCAGGAUGACUGUCUCACCUUUUUCCUAUCUCCAAUUACCUUUCUCCAAGUUCCCCACACCUCAACUUUAUCGCCUAAAUGUCCUGAGCCUGCAGGAAGGUGGAUCUGAGGUCUCUCAGCUCCUCACCUGGCUGCCUUGUGAAGAAACCUUCUCUGCUGCAAACCUCUCUGUCUCAGCGUUUGGCUUGCUGCGCGUUAGGAAAACAAGUCUGGUUCAGUUAACAGUCUCAUCCUGUCAACUUCUUUCUCAUUCAAUAAAGUCAUCAAAAUAAUUGAUGGACUUUGGAAUAGUGACCUCAAGUGAUGAAAACGCUGCCAAAGUCCUGUUAUGGAGAACAUUCGUUUUGGAGUUAGACAAACCAGUGCUAAAACUCUGGCUCCGGCAUCUGCCGAUUGUGUGUUCUUCAUAUAGAGAUUUUUAACCUUACUCUUCUGUAAAUUGGAGAUGUUUUGUUUUGUAAGGUUAUUUUAAGAAUUAUGAAAACAAGAUGCAUUUGUUCACCCAACAAAUAUUUAUUGAGCACAGCUACAUGCCAGACAUUUUCCUAAACACCAAAAGGGUAUCUAUGGUUUCCUGAGGCCAUUGAAGUGCUAUGGGGUUUUCCAUAGCACUUUCCAGGCAAGAUUACUGGAGUGGGUUGACGUUUCCUUCUCCAGUGGAUCUUCCUGACCCAGGGAUCGAACCCCAGUCUCCUGUGCUGCAGGCAGCCUCCUGAAUUGCAGGUGGAUUCCUGACCAACUGAGCCACCCGGGAUACCCUGCUGCUGCUGCUGCUGCUGCUGCUAAGUCGCUUCAGUCGUGUCUGACUCUAUGCGACCCCAUACACCAGGCUCCCCUGUCCCUGGAAUUCUCCAGGCAAGAACACUGGAGUGGGUUGCCAUUUCCUCCUCCAAUGCAUGAAAGUGAAAAAUGAAAGUGAAGUCGCUCAGUCGUGUCUGACUCUUAGCGACCCCAUGGACUGCAGCUCACCAGGCUCCUCCGUCCAUGGGAUUUUCCAGACAAGAGUACUGGAGUGGGAUGCCAUCACCUUCUCCGCCGGGAUACCCUACUGAUCACCAAAUCAACUCCAUUUUAGCAUCACAUGGAGCUAGGAUGGAGGAACAAGAACUGCUUGGGAGACAGAAAUGGGAAAGGACCUGGUUAACAGGCAACAAGUGAAGCUCUAAGUCGCCUCUCUCUAACAGAGUGUAAGAUGAGGAGCCACAUUCCCACACUGAUAGAGGAUAUUUUCUUGAAUAUAAUCUACACUCUUUGUGUUUUAAACCAUACAUAUUUGUUAUUCCAUUCGUUUAAUAUGAACAUAAUACAGUCAUCAAUAUAAAAUGCAGAAAUACACAUAUAUAUAAUAUAUGCAUCUAUAUGUAUGUAUAUAUCAUGUAUAUAUAUAUAUAAUAAUGCAUUAGAUUUAUCACAGUACCCACGAGAACCUGUCUCCUCAGUGAAGACAUUCUCAUGUUCUCCACCUCUCAAGAGCACAUCUAUAUAUUCCCUGACAACACUUUUCAUUUACAUGCUUUCUGUUACCGUCUCACCUGCCCCACCCACACACACCAAGAAUACAGAUUUUGACUGUGUUCUCUCGCCUGCACUUUUCCUUCCAUCACUGGCCAAUGCAUCACUGAUUCACCUUUCUCCUUCUUAAACCAGUUUUCUAGCCUCCUUACAUACCAAUAUUUUACCACCUUCUUUACAUAUUCUGGGCUUCCCUGGUGGCUCAGACAUUAAAGAAUCUGCCUGCAAUGCGGGAG
ensembl:lncRNA